CCUACGGGCGGCAGCAGUGAGGAAUAUUGGUCAAUGGGCGCGAGCCUGAACCAGCCAAGUAGCGUGAAGGAUGACUGCCCUACGGGUUGUAACCUUCUUUUAUAAAGGACUAAAGUGCGGCACGUGUGCCUUUUUGUAUGUACUUUAUGAAUAAGGAUCGUCUAACUCCGUGCAGGCGGCCGCGUUACUACGGAGGUGCCAGCCUUUAUCAGGUUUUAUUGGUUUUAAAGGGAGCGUAGAUGGGUUGUUAAGUCAGUUGUGAAAGUUUGCGGCUAAAAGGUAAAAUUGCAAUUGAUACUGGCAGGCUUGAGUACAGUUGAGGUAGGCGGAAUUCGUGGUGUAGCGGUGAAAUGCUUAGAUAUCACGAAGAACUCCGAUUGCGAAGGCAGCUUACUAAACUGCGACUGACACUGAUGCUCGAAAGUGUGGGUAUCAAACAGGAUUAGAUACCCCAGUAGUC
rnacentral:rRNA from 1 species